GCUGUCAUUUGUGCUUCCUGGAUGGGACAUGUCCAGAUCAGAGCUACAUGGUCUGAAAGUCCUUCCCGCAAUUGCACAGGAAGGACGGGACAAGGACAGGAAAAAGAUGCAACAAGGAUGUUCAGUCCCCCGUCUGAUAAUCUCCAGUGUAUGAAGCAGAAAGUGCUAAAACUGGGUCAGAAGAAAAAAGGCAAUAAGCCAACUUUGCUCUUUGCAACACAUUGUAUAGCACAAUGGGUUCCUCUGGAGGGCCAAUGAAGAACAGGAAUCUGUUUGAGUGCUAAUGCUUUGAACUCUCUUAUGCUCAGCCUGAAUAUGUGUGCAAAUAAACUUUAUAACACAAAAACUGCAUAAGUCCCUAGUGAUUCUGGGUAAGUGCAGGAGCCACUGCAACCUCUCAAAGCUUUGAAGUAGGGUGCACACACAUCACAAAAAUACGUGCAUGUGCAAAUACAGAAUAUGUGGCAGUGUUUGGGUUAUGAGACAUGGGGAGACAGCAAAACAACAAACCAACUGUGCUACUAGUAUCCUGGUUCUUUACACGACAUGGAAGUAUUUUUCUUGAAAUUAAUUAAAGUUAUAAUUUGGCAGGGUGGAUUUCUGUCUUGCUUUCUUCUCAAAAAUAGAUGGAUCAUGAAAAGUACAUCUCUAGGAGGUAAAAAGCCCUGACUUUAUGUGAACUGCCAACAGCUUACCUGGUUUUAAAAAAUGUCUGCCUGGUAGCAAAAGGAGAAUAUGUAGAGAGUCAGACUACCUCCUCUCUUUAGAUUGUGCCUUGAGAGCAGCCACCAAGAAAGCUCUCAUGGGGUGGGGGGGAUUAACCUUCUCUUCCCAUUACUGUCCCAUGCCUUUCAUAUAAAUCUGUUCAGGAUCUCAAAACUAAAAACAACCCACUAACAAAUUAUGGUGGCCCACUGUGAAAUAAACAUACACAAACCCCACUUUGUGUUUGAGCAAACAAAGUUAACGUGAAGUGACUUACAAUAAUUAAAUCUCCCACUCAGAACUUUUAUUGUGAGUUUUGGGAUGAGACCAAAUGCUUUGUUGAUUUUCCACUUGAGGCUUAUCCAAUAUAUUUUUGCUACCUAAAGUAAUUGUGGACAAGAUCACAACCUCCCCCAUUUCAGAUGCAAAGGCCAACUGGACUGGGAGCUGACUCUUCAUUUUAACACUGGCAAUGCGCUGCAAAAUAGGAUUGUUGCCAUCGAACAAGAAUUUUCUGUUCACCGACUAACAGGUCGUUGGCUUUGGGUGAAGAGGUGCAAGAGCAAAUCACAAGAAAAAAUGAAUGUCUCCAGGAGAAUACAUUGUCUUCGAGCUCACAGACCCAAACCAUAUCCAUAUACUGGAGAGAAUGUACAGAAUUCUUGUGGAUGUAAAGAAUGGUGUGGGAACGAGCGAACGACAAUACAGACUCUUUAUACACUGAUUGCUAUGGUCAUCCUUAUUGCAAUUUGGGGAGUAUGGGCAAGGAAAGAUGCUUAAGCAUGCUGAAGAACAUUUUUCUGCACCUGCAACUCAAGAGUUCACACCCAAAGACCCUCUGAGGACAAAAAAAUACAAAGCCUUUAACCUAUACACACUGGAGCUCUUCUUGAAUUCGAAAAUGGAAUUAUGAUUAUUGAUUGAUUCAAACCAAUUUUUUAAAAAAAUAUGUGGAAUGCAACAAGAAUGUAAAAUAUUGCUGUUUUAUAUCAUUUUAUAUUAUAACAGUGCAAUGAUCUAAAGUCAAAUGUAAAGUAUUUAAAAUAGAAGUAUAAUAAA